GGGUCUUCCUCUGUCACCUAGGCUGGAGUGCAGUGGUGCAAUCAUGGCUUACUGCAGCCUCAACCUACUGGGGUCAAGUAGAUCCUCCCACCUCAUCCUCCCGAGUGGCUGGAACUACAGAUGCUUUAAAAAUGACAGUGAAAAAAUAAAAAGGCCAUAAAGAUAUCCCAAAAGGAGGCAACAUCAGAGGAAGUUUUCAACAAAUUUGGGAAAGUGGAAAUAGCAAUGGACUUCCUGGGGUGGAAGAAGUAACACUUUUCAGAAGAUGAGGCUUCCUUCCUAUAGCCAAGAGGCUGCCUGCCCAACACUUGAAGGAGGCUGCAGGGUUAACCUCUCCAACUCAGCAACACUGGCAGCCAGGCAGAGAUCCCUGGCCCCCAGGCAGAGGACUCAAGACCCUUCUCUAGAGGAACUUAGGAGCCCCAGAAAAAAAAUCUCCAACUACUGACAUUUGGAAGUCUCUUGAUAAAAAGGGUACCCUGCAGCAUGAGCACCCUAUCAUGAAGCUAUCUGAUCAACAAACAACACCUUCUCUCUUUUUUCUCUCCCACACACAGCUGCCCUUGACAAGAGCUGUAUAGCGCCUACUCUUAAAUGAGUUGAGGCCAGAGCAGCGGCUCACGCCUGUAAUCCCAGCACUUUGGGAGGCUGAAGUGAGAGGAUUCCUUGAAGCCAGGAGUUCGCGACCAGCCUGGGCAACAUAGUAAGAUUCCAUCUCUAAAAAAAAAAAAGUGUAAAAAAACUAGCUAGGUGUCAUGGUGUGCACCUGCAGUCCCAGCUACUCUGUAGGCUGAUUCAGGGGGGAUCACUUGAGCCCAGGAAGUCGAGGCUGUAGUGAGUUAUGAUCGUGCCACUGUGCUCCAGCCUGGGUGACAAAACGAGAGCUUGUCUCUAAAAAACACAAAACAAAACAAAAUAUGGUUGAGAUUCAAGAAUAUCCAGAUAUUAGAGAAAGAAAAAAAAUUACUAAAUGGAAGACAGCAAUCAAAAUAAAAAGCAAACAAGAAAUAGAGGCAAUGUAGGGAACAAAAAACAAAAAAGAAAAACGAGUAAGUAUCCUCAUAGAUGAGUGAAGAUAUUUCACUUAUGAAACAAGAACAGGAUAAUAUAAAAAACAACUUGCAGAAUGAGAAAAAGCUUUUUGAUUUAGAAAUAUAACAAUUAAGUAUGUUUAGUAGAGAAAAAGAUACAACUACAAAGUACAAUGAAAAUACAAAGACAGAAGAGAUAGAGCAACAGAAAAUCAACAGAAGGAAAAAACAAAAUUGGGGAGAGGAAAUAAGACAUAAAUUUAUAUAUGUAGUUAAUGCAUUCAUGAGAUGUCAAGAAAAAAAGAGUCAACUGCACAAACUGGGGAACAACACACACUGGGGCCCACUUGAGGGUGGAGGGCAAGCGGAGGGUGAGCAUCAGAAAAAAUAACUCUUGGGUACUAGGCUUUGUACCUGGGUGAUGAAAUAAUCUGUACAACAAAUCCCCAUGACAUGAGUUUACCUGUAUAACAAACCUACACAGGUACCCCUAAACCUAAAAUAAAAGUUAAAAAAAAAAAGUCAAUUGGAAAAGACUAACAUUAUCAUGAAACUUCAGGAUGGCAGCAAUAAAGAAUAGUUUCUUAACGUUUAAGGGUGAGGUGAACUUGAACAGGUAACUUAUAAAAGAAAGGGAGUCAGAAUGGCAUCAAACUCCUUAGCAGUUUUGGAAGCUAGAAGAUAGUGAUGUACUAUCGCCAAAACUGAGUGAAAAUUGUUGUUACUAUUUUCCUCCUGCCUCAGCCUCUGGAGUAGCUGGGACUACAGGUCCAUAUCAUUGUGCCUGGCUAAUUUUUAAAUUUUUUGUAGAGACAGGGUCUCACAUUGCUGCCCAGGCUGGUCUUGAACUCUUGGCUUCAAAUGAUUCUCCUGCCUUGGCCUCCCAAAGUGUUGGGAUUACAGGUGUGAGCCAGCAUGCCCAGCCCCAAAAUGAUUUUUGACCUAUAAUUUUAUACCUAGUCAAAUUAUGUACCAAGUUUUAGGAUAGAAUAAAGACAUCUUCAGAUAUGCAAGGUGUCAAAAACUUUACCUCCAAUGCACUCUUUCAUAGGAAGUUGCAGAAUUGGCUUUGGUAAAAUGUGAGAGUAAACAUAUAAAGAGGAAGACAUGGAAUCCAGGAAUGAGAUGCAAGAUAGGAGAGUGGGAAAGGAUGCCCUAGGACCACUGCUGGACCAGGUCUAAAAAGUAACCAGUGUACUGAAGGACAACAGAUUGAAGAGUCUAGGUAAAAAAUGAACUGACUAAUUACCUGAUAUGUAGUUAUGUGUGGAAAAAGUACUACUGGGGCUCAGAAAAUGAUACCCCAAAGUAUGGUGCUUUGGCAUGCUGAGUACUUUGAACUAAAUGAGAUUAGAGAAGGCCUCAGAAGAAAGUUGCUCUCUGACCUUCUCUUGCCCUCCUGUCUCCUGCCCUUCUUUCUUCCCCAAAGCAGCCAGAGAGGCCAGAAUUCCUCUUUUCCACAAGUGGGCCAUAAAAACUAGAACAAGUCUCCCACAAAGCAAGCCAGAAGUCCUACAAAUAACUUUAAUUUUUUUUUUUAAAGAAGAUAAAAUCUCAGUGGAACUUUAAAAAAAAUAUUUAAAAUAAUAAUAAUAAACUCCUACAAAUAUUACCCUAACAUUUCCUUGCCUUUCUGUGUCAGAGCUGGCCAUAAAAAAAUUAGCUGACCUACUUUGUUUGAUAGAUCAGGACCCCUCAUUCCAGAAAGGGUCCUGCCCCAUAUCUGGGAGGAAGUAAUCGUACACAGAGAGGCCUGAAAAAUCUGAAUAGACGGCUUGCUGGAUUUUCCCUAUGACCACUGUAUUAUACCCUUUUUUGUCCAAUCAUAUUUCUACAUCGCUAUACAUUCUUCAUCCAAACUAAGCAUAAAAAUAGUUUCCUCUGGGUCUCUGGGUCUUCCUUUCUCAACGUUCCCAUGUCACAUAAAACUUUGAUUAAAUACAUUUGUUAUGCUU